AUGCUUGCUUCAGCAGUACAUAUCCUAAAACUGGAAAGCUGCAGAGAAGACGGUCCCAGUGCAAGAAUGACACAAAAUUUCCUGGAGCAUUUCAUACUUUC
rnacentral:snRNA from 1 species